rnacentral:rRNA from 1 species
GAUGAACGCUGGCGGCGUGCCUAAUACAUGCAAGUCGAGCGAACAGAUGAGGAGCUUGCUCCUCUGACGUUAGCGGCGGAAGGGUGAGUAACACGUGGAUAACCUACCUAUAAGACUGGGAUAACUUCGGGAAACCGGAGCUAAUACCGGAUAAUAUAUUGAACCGCAUGGUUCAAUAGUGAAAGACGGUUUUGCUGUCACUUAUAGAUGGAUCCGCGCCGCAUUAGCUAGUUGGUAAGGUAACGGCUUACCAAGGCGACGAUGCGUAGCCGACCUGAGAGGGUGAUCGGCCACACUGGAACUGAGACACGGUCCAGACUCCUACGGGAGGCAGCAGUAGGGAAUCUUCCGCAAUGGGCGAAAGCCUGACGGAGCAACGCCGCGUGAGUGAUGAAGGUCUUCGGAUCGUAAAACUCUGUUAUUAGGGAAGAACAAAUGUGUAAGUAACUAUGCACGUCUUGACGGUACCUAAUCAGAAAGCCACGGCUAACUACGUG